UCUCGAUAGCGUAAAAGUUAAGUCAAAGUUUGUAUGAAGUUGGAAUGUUUGCCUACGUUUGCCGCUAGGGGCGCUGCUCCAACUCUAUACUAGCUUGAGUUAACUUUGUCGAUAUCGA
rnacentral:pre_miRNA from 9 species